rnacentral:lncRNA from 1 species
AACUUAUGAAACGCAAUUAGAAGUAAUCAAAUCAUAUAGCAAGCAUAAACAUGGUUUCGAAUCCCCCCCCUAGCCAAGGGGGGUUUAGUUCCUCAUACUCGCAAAGCAAAGAUACAUAAAUUUAGAAAUUAAAACCCAAAGAAAGAAAACACCUAGAAGGCUCCAACUUGGCAGCAAGAUCAUCAAUGAUUUCCCUUUCCUCCUUGCUGCGGCAGAGAAGUUUAAAACAGGUUUUGGGUGGUAUUUAGGGUGUAGAAUGGAUGGGGAAUGGUAGGGAAAGGUUUAGGGUUGAUGGGGGUACGGCUAGGGAUGAUUUUUGGGCAGAAUUUUGGGAUUUUGGUGAUGGGAAGGUGCGGCAGAAUGCAAGGGCAGAUUUCUGGCGUGAAUGAUUGUGUAUGAGAGGUGGUGAUCUGAUCUAGGGGUUAUAAUGAGUAUAUAUAGGCAUCCAAAACCCUAGGGUAAUCAGAUUAGGGUUUCU